rnacentral:rRNA from 1 species
GACGAACGCUGGCGGCGUGCCUAAUACAUGCAAGUAGAACGCAGUCGCGAACGGGUGAUUAACGCGUAGGUAACUGCCUGGUAGCGGGGGAUAACUAUUGGAUACGAUAGCCAAUACCGCCUACUACUAGAUGUACCUGCGUUGUAUUAGCUAGUUGGUGAGGUAACGGCGCCCCAAGGCAACGAUACAUCGCCGACCUGAGAGGGUGAUCGGCCAAACGGAGAAUGAGGCACAGCCCAGACUCCUACGGGAGGCAGCAGUAGGGAAUCUGCGGCAAUGGGGGGAACCCUAACCGGACAACGCCGCGUGAGUGAAGAAGGUUUUCGGAUCGUAAAGCUCUGUUGUUAAGGAAGCGGUUCUUAACCAGAAAGGGACGGCUAACUACGUGCCAGCAGCCGCGGUAAUUC